ACGGAAGGCAGCAGUGGGGAAUAUUGCACAAUGGGGGGAACCCUGAUGUAGCGAUGCCGCGUGGAGGAAGAAGGUUUUCGGAUUGUAAACUCCUGUCUUAAAGGACGAUAAUGACGGUACUUUAGGAGGAAGCUCCGGCUAACUACGUGCCAGCAGCCGCGGUAAUACGUAGGGAGCGAGCGUUGUCCGGAAUUACUGGGUGUAAAGGGAGCGUAGGCGGGAUUGCAAGUCAGAUGUGAAAACUAUGGGCUUAACCCAUAGACUGCAUUUGAAACUGUAGUUCUUGAGUGAAGUAGAGGUAAGCGGAAUUCCUGGUGUAGCGGUGAAAUGCGUAGAUAUCAGGAGGAACACCGGUGGCGAAGGCGGCUUACUGGGCUUUUACUGACGCUGAGGCUCGAAAGCGUGGGGAGCAAACAGGAUUAGAUACCCUGGUA
rnacentral:rRNA from 1 species